CAGCAGCCGCGGUAAUACGGAGGAUCCGAGCGUUAUCCGGAUUUAUUGGGUUUAAAGGGAGCGUAGGCGGACGCUUAAGUCAGUUGUGAAAGUUUGCGGCUCAACCGUAAAAUUGCAGUUGAUACUGGGUGUCUUGAGUACAGUAGAGGCAGGCGGAAUUCGUGGUGUAGCGGUGAAAUGCUUAGAUAUCACGAAGAACUCCGAUUGCGAAGGCAGCCUGCUGGACUGUAACUGACGCUGAUGCUCGAAAGUGUGGGUAUCAAACAGGAUUAGAUACCCUGGUAGUCCACACAGUAAACGAUGAAUACUCGCUGUUUGCGAUAUACAGCAAGCGGCCAAGCGAAAGCGUUAAGUAUUCCACCUGGGGAGU
rnacentral:rRNA from 1 species